rnacentral:rRNA from 1 species
CCCUUAGAUGUUCUGGGCCGCACGCGCGCUACACUGAUGCAUUCAACAAGCCUAGCCUUGACCGAGAGGUCCGGGUAAUCUUUGAAACUGCAUCGUGAUGGGGCUAGAUUAUUGCAAUUAUUCAUCUUCAACGAGGAAUGCCUAGUAAGCGUGAUUCAUCAAAUCGCGUUGAUUACGUCCCUGCCCUUUGUACACACCGCCCGUCGCUCCUACCGAUUGAAUGUGUUGGUGAGGAGCUCGGAUUGGCAGCAGUUGGUGGUUCGCCACCGGCUAUUGCUGAGAAGUCCUCCAAACCGCCCCAUUUAGAGGAAGGAGAANUCGUAACA